rfam:Planctomycetes bacterium RIFOXYB12_FTLL_42_10 rifoxyb3_full_scaffold_42009_curated, whole genome shotgun sequence.
UAAACCAUCAGGUAACUGGUAGGUGAAGAACGUAAAGAAGUCAGCAGAGGACAUAGUAUUUCGGGCAACCGGAAGAAGGUC